AGUCGCCGCGGGAAUACGAAGGGGGCUAGCGUUGUUCGGAAUUACUGGGCGUAAAGCGCACGUAGGCGGAUAUUUAAGUCAGGGGUGAAAUCCCAGAGCUCAACUCUGGAACUGCCUUUGAUACUGGGUAUCUUGAGUAUGGAAGAGGUGAGUGGAAUUCCGAGUGUAGAGGUGAAAUUCGUAGAUAUUCGGAGGAACACCAGUGGCGAAGGCGGCUCACUGGUCCAUUACUGACGCCGAGGUGCGAAAGCGUGGGGAGCAAACAGGAUUAGAGACCCCUGUAGUCCCUGUCUCUUAUACA
rnacentral:rRNA from 1 species